UUUCUUCUCCUCUCCUGAAAAUGUGAUAACUCAGAGUUGUCUCCCAUAGUCAUUGCUGACGGUUGAGUCUCUGCUACGACCACCAUCAUCGCGGAAAACAAAGCUAAGCCACUCACCUAGCCAUUGUCGAAGACUGAAGAUAAGCUACUCACAAUGUCAUUAUCGAAGACUUAAGCUAAACCACUCACCCAGUCAUCGUGAACUCCACCAUUGUCGAAUCUAAGCCCUCUUUAAGUUCUCUCUGAACAAACAACAAUUGUUGAUACACAAGAAGAAGAAGAAACAAAUGUUGAAGUAGAAAUUUAUAUUCAGGAACAAGCAGCUACAUUUGCCGAACAAGAACAUGAACAAGAGCAAAAAACUAUUGAAGCAAAAGUUGAAAUUAUGGUAUAUAUCAGUAUAUAUUAUAUAAUUAUUUGGUCUUUGAAAUAUUUCAAUGAUAUUUUUUUUUCCUUUGCAAUAUUAAUACACAUCUCUCUAUUAUAUUUGUGCAAAAAUAAGUUUUUUUUUUCUUUUUGUUAAUUUUGCAGUAAAAAAAAUGAAAAGAAGCAAGGAGUGUACACAAGAAAAAAAGAAAGUAGAAGAAUAAAAGUCGGUUCCCUUGAAGAGGAAGAGGAAGAGGAAGAAUAAUAACUGAAUAUUUUAAUGUUUACGAUAUAUAACUUUCAUCUUUGUUAUCUCUACUUUGAAGCAAUUGAAAACUUCAUGUCAAUAGCUAUUGUUGUUUGACUUUAGGUCCCUUGUUGUUUAAC